rnacentral:rRNA from 1 species
GACGAACGCUGGCGGCGUGCUUAACACAUGCAAGUCGAACGGAAAGGCCCCUUUGGGGGUACUCGAGUGGCGAACGGGUGAGUAACACGUGAGUAACCUGCCCUUGACUUCGGGAUAACUUCAGGAAACUGGGGCUAAUACCGGAUAGGAAUCCUUGCUGCAUGGUGGGGGUUGGAAAGCUUCAGCGGUUUUGGAUGGACUCGCGGCUUAUCAGCUUGUUGGUGGGGUAGUGGCUUACCAAGGCUUUGACGGGUAGCCGGCCUGAGAGGGCGACCGGCCACAUUGGGACUGAGAUACGGCCCAGACUCCUACGGGAGGCAGCAGUGGGGAAUAUUGCACAAUGGGCGGAAGCCUGAUGCAGCAACGCCGCGUGCGGGAUGACGGCCUUCGGGUUGUAAACCGCUUUCAGCAGGGGCGAAGCUUGUGGUGACGGUACCUGCAGAAGAAGCACCGGCUAACUACGUG